CUAGAAACAUCAGCUACAAAGGAGAGAAUUCUCAGUUAAAGGGGCCUUUAGAAGGCAUGAAUGUCGACUUCAGCAAUGUAGAUUCUUGGCACUGGGGGACUCUUAUUUCAUCCAUAGACUUAUCUGUUUUUCCUUCCAUGGGUUAACUGAGUUCAGACCAGCAGCUGCUCUUUUCCUGGGAUGUGCAGAGAGUGUGGCGAGUGUGAAUUUUACCACAAGCUAAAUCUCCUGAGAAGGAUCAGCAUUAAGAGUUCAAGAGGCGUUGAUCCGGUUACGUGAAGAGCUAAGAGAAGUUUGCAGACAAGCCCAUCCAACGUGUGGUAAAGGAGUUCUGGACGCCAAGCCGAAAGCAAAGGACACCCGACUGGGGCAUUGGGACCACUGGGACUUACUCCAACUCUGACCUGUUCGGGCCAGAGACGUCCUUUUCUCCGGAUCCCACAGGCUGUGACUGCUCUGAGAACCGGAAGGGACUUUGGGGAACAUCAAGAGAGAUUCUACAAACCGUGGCUAGAAAGUUACGGGAAGCCCUCCA